rnacentral:rRNA from 1 species
AUUGAACGCUGGCGGCGGGCCUAACACAUGCAAGUCGAGCGAGCGGCGGAGGGGUGAGUAAUGCCUGGGAGUUGCCCAGUCGAGGGGGGUAACAGUUGGCAACGGCUACUAAGACCUCAUACGAUUGGAUUGCCCAGGUGGGAUUAGCUAGUUGGUGAGGUAAUGGCUCACCAAGGCGACGAUCCCUAGCUGGUCUGAGAGGAUGAUCAGCCACACUGGAACUGAGACACGGUCCAGACUCCUACGGGAGGCAGCAGUGGGGAAUAUUGCACAAUGGGGGAAACCCUGAUGCAGCCAUGCCGCGUGUGUGAAGAAGGCCUUCGGGUUGUAAAGCACUGUCAGCGAGGAGGCGUUACUCGCAGAAGAAGCACCGGCUAACUCCGUGCCAGCCGCCGCGGUAAUUC